GAUGAACGCUGGCGGCGUGCCUAAUACAUGCAAGUCGAGCGAACGGACUAUAAGCUUGCUUUUCUGAUCUUAGAGGCGGACGGGCGAGUAACACGUGGAUAACCUAGCUAUAAGACUGGGAUAACUUCGGGAAACCGGAGCUAAUACCGUAUAAUAUUUUGAUCUUAAUUGUUCAAAAGUGAUAGACGGUCAUGCUGUCUCUUAUAGAUAGCUCCGCGAUGCAUUAGCUAUUUGGUAAGGUAACGGCUAACCAAGGGAACGAUGCAUAGCAGACCUGAGAGGUGGUUGGGCAAACCGGGAACGGAGCACGGGUCCGGACUCCUACGGGAGGCAGCAUAAGGGAUUCUUCGGCAAUGGGCGAAAGCCGGACGGGGCAACGCCGCGUGGUGGAUGAGGGUCUUCGGAUCGUAAAACUCUGUGAUUAGGGAAGAACAUAGGUGUAAGUAACUGUGCACAUCUUGACGGUACCUAAUCAGAAAGCCACGGCUAACUACGUG
rnacentral:rRNA from 1 species